AGCACCCGGCUCAACGUUAAUCAUUGACCCACAGCGGGGGAAUUCCGCCUCUGGAGCGGCCGUCCCCAAGUUGCCCGAAGAAGGGCGAUUUUCCUGACAUCCUUUGGUAGUCGUGAUCUCCAUAUUUGGAAAUGUUUACCCAUGCUCUGAUCUAUUGGAAGGGGAGGGGAGUGACUCAGGGCCUGGUGGAAGCGAGAUUUGAAUUCCUGCAGGCAGGAUAAUUUUUUUCCCUCUUCCUUCUUUCUUUCUUUCUUUCUGUCUGCCUCUCUCCCUCUUCCGUGUGCUUGUGGUCACUCCGGCAGUUUCGCUCACUCCCGGAGCCAGUUCCAAAUUUGUUCCGCUCUAGGACAAGGCGUCCCCCCAGGGAGGGAGAGCAGCCCAGCCUCCAGCCCAGUCGGUUCUCCAGAGCUCUCCUCCUGGAAUCGCUUCCCAACAGACAACAUUCCUUUUUCGACUGUGGGGCCCAGAACUGAGCAGCAGACUCCAGGUAAAUCCUUGCCAAAACUGAAAUCUGCGAUGCUGAUUAACUAUUGUAUCUUCUGAUCUGCACAAGGAACAGC